AAUUAGAGAGCUGCUGAUUACCACCAAGGUAAUCACAUCAUAUCAUAAGCCACAUCAUACCUGGACGACAGCGUUCCACAGCACUUCCGGCUCUCCUCCCGCUUUUACGGUCUACAUUCCCUUCCUUUAUGUUUUCUGAGCCUUGGUGAGGGGAAAGGAAGGGUUGUAAUUUGAUGUAAAUGUUCCAUGAAGGGCUGGGAGAUUUAUUAUCAGCUCUUUCACCAAUUACAA
rnacentral:lncRNA from 1 species